UGGGGAAUUGUUCGCAAUGGGCGCAAGCCUGACGACGCAACGCCGCGUGGAGGAUGAAGGUCUUCGGAUUGUAAACUCCUGUUGACCGGGAAGAAUCGGCGCCGACCUAAUACGUCGGCGUCAUGACGGUACCGGUUGAGGAAGCCACGGCUAACUCUGUGCCAGCAGCCGCGGUAAUACAGAGGUGGCAAGCGUUGUUCGGAAUUACUGGGCGUAAAGGGCGCGUAGGCGGCCACUUGAGUCAGACGUGAAAUCCCCGGGCUUAACUCGGGAACUGCGUCUGAUACUGAGUGGCUGGAGUUCGGGAGAGGGAUGUGGAAUUCCAGGUGUGGCGGUGAAAUGCGUAGAUAUCUGGAGGAACACCGGUGGCGAAGGCGGCAUCCUGGACCGAAACUGACGCUGAGGCGCGAAAGCCAGGGGAGCAAACGGG
rnacentral:rRNA from 1 species